GGAGAUAGAGGAAGAGGCCUAGGUAGAUGAAGAGAAGAAGGAGAUAGAGGAAGAGAGAAGGAGAUAGAGGAAGAGGCCUAGGUAUAGGAAGAGGAGAAGGAGGUAGAGGCCUAGAUAGAGGAAGAGGUAGAGAAGGACUUGAAGAGUUGAUAGAACCUGAACAAAGAAGAUGAGGACCAAAUUUGACUCAAGAAAUCCAUGCAACACUUAUUGACCAUGUUAUCAACCAUGGACUGACACUGAUGGAAGCUGGACAAAUAGUUCAACCAAAUCUCAGCAGAAAUACUGUUGUGUCAGUAAUUCGGGCAUUUCAUCGAGAAAACAGGAUUGAGGACACCAAGGUGGAAGUGGCCCUAUGUUCACUCGUACACAACGAGGCCGCCAUUGUGAACAUGGUUUUGACCAAUAAUUGUAUCAGGCUGCGAGAAAUACAAGCCAAUAUCAUCAAUGAUGACCAUAUUUUCAAUAACAUCCAAUGAGUCUCUCUGUCAACAUUAGGUCAAAUCCUCAAGAAAAAUCAAAUAUACAUGAAGCAACCGUAUCAGGUACCAUUUGACAGAAAUUCAGAGAGAGUGAAACAUCUGCGCAAUGAGUAUGUGGAGAGAGUCUUGCAAAUGGAUGCUGCAGAAAUUCAACAUGAAUUUAUAUAUGUGGAUGAGGCUGGAUUUAACCUUGCGAAAACAAGAAGAGGGAGAAACGUAAUUGGACACAGGGCAAUGGAGAAACGUAAUUGGACACAGGGCAAUCACCAAUGUGCCAGAGCAGCGAGGGGGUAACAUCACCCUUAGCACUGCUAUUACACAAAAUGGGGUCCUCCACCACCAUGCAAUUCUGGGACCCUAUAAUGCAAAUCUAAUACUUGCAUUUCUUGACAGAUUGCACAAGAUUGUCACAGCAUUAAACCAAGUGGACCAGAUGCGGUACAUUGUCGUUUGGGACAAUGUCUCAUUCCAUCGGGCUGCUCUGGUCCAGAAUUGGUUCCAUGGCACCCUGAAUUUGAAGUCUUAUACC